AGUGGAAUUGCUGUAUCAUGUGGUAAUUUUAUGUUUAAUUGUUUGAGGAACUGCCAAACUUCUUUCCAAAGUGGAUACACCAUUUUACAUUUGCACCAGCAAU
rnacentral:pre_miRNA from 1 species